UCAUGCUGGAGCUGGAAAGAAAAGACGCAAACUUGUACCUUCUGCAUAGAUAUAUGGCCGUUUUAUGGCCGUUCAGGGAUGACUGCAGUCAGUGCCACAUUGCUUUGAGGUAUUUGGAUGUGGUUUUGAGAUGCACUUUUUCCUCUGAAUUGAGAAAAUGUGAAGCAAAUGCUAGAUGCAGAAUCGCCCAUUCCUGAAAGCUGAAAAAACUCAAGAGGCAAUUUUUUCAGCAAAGUCAGUUUCCACCCACAAGAAUCCAGAGGCAAAGCAUCCAGAGGUUGAGCCUAUGUUGAUUCAGUGUUCCUUAAGGAACAGAGACGUGUUUGGAGGGUCUAGGGAGGCCAGUACCUAAAGUUGCCUGAGACUGCAUCACUUUUACAGACUAUGCAAGUAAAGAAGAGCCAGUGUCACCACAAUAUACUUUGGGAAAGCUGCCGUGAAGAAAAAAUCCACAAUUUCAUCUUCUGGUAAGAGUAAUAGCCCAGAGAAGAUGGAUAAAAAUCGAGAGGAGAAGACAUUCCCUGUCUAGGUCUCACAGACUUCAAAUGUACAACAUAUGAACAUAAGAACAUAAGAGAAGCCAAUGCUGGAUCAGGCCAAGGACCCAUCCAG